AAUUACUACAGAUGAUUCUCUUUAAUCCUUUAUUUUCGAUUUCUUGCUCACCAUCCGAUAUUUGUAUAGGGGCUUGAUUAAAUAUGAUUAGCGCCGAAAAGUGUUGUAUUGGGAGUAAACUCUGUUGUUACUGAUCGGUCAAGCUCCAAUACUCCCUCCUAGGGGACUCGAAAAUAACUCCAGAGUUAGGAUGCUGUUAUACGCCAUACAGUUCUUAUAUUACUUCUUGCUGCUUUUAUCAGAACCAAAUAAGCAAUAGCAACAAACCUUCCUGUCAAUUGCUCGAAAUCUCUAUGAAGCAAAUCACGACUGACAUGACUUCGUAUGUAGUGCUGACGCAGAGCCUGUGAGUGAAUUUGCAAAUUCUCAAAAGCUUUCCAAAUAAAUGUCUUGUAAGGUGUCUGCAAUUUCAAAUAAAAGCAAGAAAAAAGAUACAUCAUCUGAAUCUGAAGAUGACGAGGUAAAUAGUAAUGAGGAGAGUGACAACUAUCAAGAACAAUAUAGCGAACAAAUUACGUCUUUCAGCAGAGAUCAAGGAAAGGAUGCUGCCAAAGCUACAACAACUAAAAAGGGCAAGGGCAGUGGAAUUGACCUCAUCGGCAAAUAAAAGCUCCCACUGAAGGGAAAAUAUUGACUUUGUACGCUUCAGAUUGUCUUCACUUCAUUAUGUUUAUUCUCCUGCAUCGUUUAAUGUUGUUGAUGAACUCCUAAUAAUUUUUUUUCCCUAGCUCCUAAUAUUUUUUUGGCGCUGUGGGUAAAGUAAACACUUUGAACAGUUUAAUAUAAAGAACACACUUAAUACAUUCUAAAGGAUGCAUACUGACCUUGUCCUUGUACAAUGACCAUUUAACUUCUAUUUGUCCAUUAUGAUAAUUGAUUUCAUUUACAGUUUACUUAAAUUAUUUAAAAUUCCUCCUUACAUUAUCUCUUUCUUUUGAUGCACCGAAGCUUUCAAUAAUGGUCUGUCAUGUUAAGCACCACAAAGUGUAGAACUAUCUGCUGACUAUCUUUCUCACAAUUGAAACUUGAUUUAACGUUUCUAUUCGCAGCUUCCAAAAGGA